GCUGAGCAUGGUGGCGCAUGCCUGUAAUCCUAGAUGCUUGGGAAGCUGAAGCAGGAGGAUCAUGAGUUCAAAGCCAGCCUCAGCAGUGGCGAGGUGCUUAGCAAUUCAAUGAGACCCUGUCUCUA
rnacentral:sRNA from 1 species